rnacentral:rRNA from 1 species
GACGUAGGGCGCGAGCGUUUGUCCGGAUUUACUGGGCGUAAAGAGCGCGCAGGCGGUCGUUCAAGUCGAGUGUGAAAGCCCCCCGGCUCAACUGGGGAGGGUCACUCGAUACUGAUCGACUCGAAGGCAGGAGAGGGAAGUGGAAUUCCCGGUGUAGUGGUGAAAUGCGUAGAUAUCGGGAGGAACACCAGUGGCGAAGGCGACUUCCUGGCCUGUUCUUGACGCUGAGGCGCGAAAAGCUAGGGGAGCAAACGGG